UAAACUUUGUCAAGGUCAAGUACUUCAGUAAUUAAGAGGUCUCUUUUUGUGUGUUUUUUUAUUACUAUCUAUUCAAAAAAAACACUUUCCUAGUUUUUCUUCCUUUUCUUUGAUUUAUUGUAUACUUGGGAAAUUGAAAUAAACGGGAGUUAUGUUUUUUGUAGCCACCCAUGUGAGAACUUAAAACACCUCGAAACACCCUGAGGCCAAUCUCCAACCAUAAGUCGCCAGGGAAUACGUCUUUUUGGGAACAAGCUAUGGGAGCGUUCCAGCUCAAUUUUCGACUUGGCACCUGGGCCUACAGGAGUCAUGGGGUCGCACCAUCCUGGUGCAUCAUUUUCUAGGAUGCAACCGCAACCUCGUUUGGGAACAUUUAGUGAGGUGUUGUAGUAACUAUUGGUUUUUUUAUAUUUCAGACUAUCUGUUAAAUACACUGUUUUUUUUUUCCAGAUUUAGGUUACCUCUGGUUUUUUUUUGACAUAUUUGUAUAUUAGAUUAUUUGGUUCCCAAACUUUGUAUCUACGGUAACUUCUUGUGCACAGGAAUAAGCCUAGAGAAAAUUAGGUUUUUAAUACUUUAUUAUUGCUUUGAUAUUGGUUUAUGUAAUUCGGGUAAAUUUAUUUUGUAAUAUUACUUGCUUGUUUCCCAAAUAUUUUACUGUUAUUCGCUUUAUUACAUUUGUUCGGUUAAUUUAGGUCAUCGUCGGUAUUUAUCUCAACUUCAUUUCUACUUUAGUCAAUUGUAUAUUUAACUUUAUUUAUUCAUUAUUGUAUUUUCCCUUAGUGAGGCUUGGGCCUAUUUAUUUGUAUUAUUUUCAUCUUUGUCGGUUUCAUUUAGUUGUACGUAGCAGGCGUACUAUAACCAUUUGGUAGAAGACUCAUGUGAGUGUACCCUAUAUGUAAGCAAGAGGUAUCUAAUUUUGUAAAAGAUAACAUUAGUGUUGUUGUAUUGUAUAAUAUCAUCUU
rnacentral:lncRNA from 1 species